rnacentral:rRNA from 1 species
UACGUAGGGGGCAAGCGUUGCUCGGAAUUACUGGGCGUAAAGGGCGCGUAGGCGGAUAGUUUAGUCAGAGGUGAAAGCCCAGGGCUCAACCCUGGAAUUGCCUUUGAUACUGGCUAUCUUGAGUUCGGGAGAGGUGAGUGGAACUCCGAGUGUAGAGGUGAAAUUCGUAGAUAUUCGGAAGAACACCAGUGGCGAAGGCGACUCACUGGCCCGAUACUGACGCUGAGGCGCGAAAGCGUGGGGAGCAAACAGG